rnacentral:rRNA from 1 species
UACGUAGGGGGCAAGCGUUGUCCGGAAUCAUUGGGCGUAAAGCGCGUGUAGGCGGCUCGGUAAGUCCGCUGUGAAAACUCGAGGCUCAACCUCGAGACGUCGGUGGAAACUGCCUGGCUAGAGUCCGGAAGAGGAGAGUGGAAUUCCUGGUGUAGCGGUGAAAUGCGCAGAUAUCAGGAAGAACACCCGUGGCUAAGGCGGCUCUCUAGUACGGUACUGACGCUGAGACGCGAAAGCGUGGGGAGCGAACAGG